CAGUAGCCGCGGUAAUACGUAGGGUGCAAGCGUUAAUCGGAAUUACUGGGCGUAAAGCGUGCGCAGGCGGUUCGUUAAGACAGAUGUGAAAUCCCCGGGCUUAACCUGGGAACUGCAUUUGUGACUGGCGGGCUAGAGUACGGCAGAGGGGGGUAGAAUUCCACGUGUAGCAGUGAAAUGCGUAGAGAUGUGGAGGAAUACCGAUGGCGAAGGCGGCCCCCUGGACGAAGACUGACGCUCAGGUGCGAAAGCGUGGGGAGCAAACAGGAUUAGAGACCCCAGUAGUCCCUGUCUCUUAUAC
rnacentral:rRNA from 1 species